rnacentral:rRNA from 2 species
AGGGAAACCGAGUCUUAACUGGGCGUUAAGUUGCAGGGUAUAGACCCGAAACCCGGUGAUCUAGCCAUGGGCAGGUUGAAGGUUGGGUAACACUAACUGGAGGACCGAACCGACUAAUGUUGAAAAAUUAGCGGAUGACUUGUGGCUGGGGGUGAAAGGCCAAUCAAACCGGGAGAUAGCUGGUUCUCCCCGAAAGCUAUUUAGGUAGCGCCUCGUGAACUCAUCUUCGGGGGUAGAGCACUGUUUCGGCUAGGGGGUCAUCCCGACUUACCAACCCGAUGCAAACUGCGAAUACCGAAGAAUGUUAUCACGGGAGACACACGGCGGGUGCUAACGUCCGUCGUGAAGAGGGAAACAACCCAGACCGCCAGCUAAGGUCCCAAAGUCACAGUUAAGUGGGAAACGAUGUGGGAAGGCUCAGACAGCCAGGAUGUUGGCUUAGAAGCAGCCAUCAUUUAAAGAAAGCGUAAUAGCUCACUGGUCGAGUCGGCCUGCGCGGAAGAUGUAACGGGGCUAAACUGUGCACCGAAGCUGCGGCAGCGACGCUUAUGCGUUGUUGGGUAGGGGAGCGUUCUGUAAGCCUGCGAAGGUGUCCUGUGAGGGAUGCUGGAGGUAUCAGAAGUGCGAAUGCUGACAUAAGUAACGAUAAUGCGGGUGAAAAGCCCGCUCGCCGGAAGACCAAGGGUUCCUGUCCAACGUUAAUCGGGGCAGGGUGAGUCGACCCCUAAGGCGAGGCCGAAAGGCGUAGUCGAUGGGAAACGGGUUAAUAUUCCCGUACUUGGUGUUACUGCGAAGGGGGGACGGAGAAGGCUAUGUUGGCCGGGCGACGGUUGUCCCGGUUUAAGCGUGUAGGCUGGUUUUCCAGGCAAAUCCGGAAAAUCA